CGCCGGCCCACACCCCCUAUCGUGCGGCAGCGCCGCCUAUCCCGCCGGUGCGCCUACCCCUACCCCACGUGCCCCAAAAGGCCAACACCGGUGGCCUUCCACUGCCCGGCGACCCCGCGGCCAUCAUCGUGCAGACGUGCAAGCAAUGUCCGUGGCCUUCAUGAACGAGCUGACCCUGGUGUCGUGCGUCGUAUCUAAGCUUCCGGAGUUACCGUCGUCGCUCACGCUCGACCUGCUCGACACCCUCCUCAAAUCCGCUGCCAUCGCUUCAUUAAGGCCGCUCUUCUCCCCUCGCGGACCCCAUAUCCCAUUGGUCCCCUAGCCAGUUGCUGGCAGGCUGUCGACGGCGACCAACGCCACCGCCGCCUCAUUCUGAUUCAACCACUGAUCGAUCCAAUCUUCCACUGCAGAAAAGCACCAACAAGCAUUGGAUACGCCCUCGCCUGGUGAUCUCGCUGGAGGUGUUGUGAGGCAGGAAGUGUGAUUAGAUUAGAAUCGACAAGAAGCAGCGACCAUCUCCCUUACAUGGAUUUGCAGCGGCCAAAGUGAGCUUAUUGAAUCUUGAGAUGGAAAAGAUUGUACUUGCAGCAACACCGCCUGCAUCUUGACCGAUGCCCCCAUCACGAUGAUCAACAUGGCCUAUUCCAGGUUAUCAAAUAUAAUCUUCACCAUGGCCGAAGGUAAAUUUGUUCAGGAUAUUAGUUUGUUUCAUCCACCAAGAUAAACAACAGGUGGCAUAUGGUGAUGAGAUAGGCUUCUUCAGCUCUUUAUUUGGCAGUUCUCUUCUCGAAUCCCCUCUCUUUUCAAUGUUGUCCAGAAAUUUCAGCAACACAACUUUGUCAUCUUGCCAGGCAAUCAUGCUAAUUGAGAAAGAAGUGGUAUCCAGGACUAUGUA